UAGGGAAUUUUGCACAAUGGGCGCAAGCCUGAUGCAGCAACGCCGCGUGAGUGAAGAAGGCCUUUGGGUUGUAAAGCUCUUUCGGCCGGGAAGAAGGGGUCGUCCGUGAACAAUUGGCGAUUCUGACGGUACCGGAAGAAGAAGCACCUGCUAACUUCGUGCCAGCAGCAGCGGUAAUACGAAGGGUGCAAGCGUUAAUCGGAAUUACUGGGCGUAAAGCGUGCGCAGGCGGUUUUGUAAGUCUGUUGUGAAAUCCCCGGGCUCAACCUGGGAAUGGCAAUGGAGACUGCAAGGCUAGAGUUUGGCAGAGGGGGGUAGAAUUCCACGUGUAGCAGUGAAAUGCGUAGAUAUGUGGAGGAACACCGAUGGCGAAGGCAGCCCCCUGGGUCAAAACUGACGCUCAUGCACGAAAGCGUGGGGAGCAAAC
rnacentral:rRNA from 1 species